rnacentral:rRNA from 1 species
GAUGAACGCUGGCGGCGUGCCUAAUACAUGCAAGUCGAGCGAACAGACGAGGAGCUUGCUCCUCUGAAGUUACCGGCGGACGGGUGAGUAACACGUGGAUAACCUACCUAUAAGACUGGGAUAACUUCGGGAAACCGGAGCUAAUACAGGAUAAUAUAUUGAACCGCAUGGUUCAAUAGUGAAAGACGGUUCUGCUGACACUUAUUGAUAGAUCCGCGCCGCAUUAGCUAGUUGGUAAGGUAACGGCUUACCAAGGCAACGAUGCGUAGCCGACCUGAGAGGAUGAUCAGCCACACUGGAACUGAGACACGGUCCAGACUCCUACGGGAGGCAGCAGUAGGGAAUCUUCCGCAAUGGGCGAAAGCUUGACGGAGCAACGCCGCGUGAGUGAUGAAGGUCUUCGGAUCGUAAAGCACUUUUAGUAGGGAAGAACAAAUGUGUAAGUAACUAUGCACGUCUUGACGGUACCUAAUGAGAAAGCCACGGCUAACUACGUG